AUCUAGCUGACGAGUCCCAAAUAGGAUAAAACGUGCGUUAAACUGGAU
rnacentral:hammerhead_ribozyme from 1 species